rnacentral:rRNA from 1 species
UGCGUAGACGGUUCAUUAAGUCUUUUGUAAAAAUGCUAGGCUCAACCUAGUAGGGCAAAAGAUACUGACGGACUAGAGUACGGAAGAGGCAAGUGGAAUUUCAUGUGUAGCGGUAAAAUGCGUAAAUAUAUGAAGGAACACCAGUGGCGAAGGCGGCUUGCUGGGCCUGUACUGACGUUGAGGCACGAAAGCGUGGGGAGCAAACA